rnacentral:sRNA from 1 species
UGACCGCCCUUUCUAUCCGAAAGGCGCCAAGGCCAUACGGACAGCCGGGUCAAAUGCCGA